rnacentral:rRNA from 1 species
AGAACGAACGCUGGCGGCAUGCCUAAUACAUGCAAGUCGAACGAACUCUUCGGAGUUAGUGGCGCACGGGUGCGUAACGCGUGGGAAUCUGCCCCUUGGUUCGGAAUAACAGUUGGAAACGACUGCUAAUACCGGAUGAUGACGAAAGUCCAAAGAUUUAUCGCCAAGGGAUGAGCCCGCGUAGGAUUAGCUAGUUGGUGAGGUAAAGGCUCACCAAGGCAACGAUCCUUAGCUGGUCUGAGAGGAUGAUCAGCCACACUGGGACUGAGACACGGCCCAGACUCCUACGGGAGCAGCAGUAGGGAAUAUGGACAAUGGGCAAAGCCUGAUCCAGCAAUGCCGCGUGAGUGAUGAAGGCCUUAGGUUGUAAAGCUCUUUUACCCGAGAUGAUAAUGACAGUAUCGGAGAAUAAGCCCGGACUAACUCCGUACCAGCAGCCGAC